GGUUAAGCGACUAAGCGUACACGGUGGAUGCCCUGGCAGUCAGAGGCGAUGAAGGACGUGCUAAUCUGCGAUAAGCGUCGGUAAGGUGAUAUGAACCGUUAUAACCGGCGAUUUCCGAAUGGGGAAACCCAGUGUGAUUCGUCACACUAUCAUUAACUGAAUCCAUAGGUUAAUGAGGCGAACCGGGGGAACUGAAACAUCUAAGUACCCCGAGGAAAAGAAAUCAACCGAGAUUCC
rnacentral:rRNA from 1 species